rnacentral:rRNA from 1 species
GAUGAACGCUGGCGGCGUGCCUAAUACAUGCAAGUCGAGCGAACAGAUGAGGAGCUUGCUCCUCUGACGUUAGCGGCGGACGGGUGAGUAACACGUGGAUAACCUACCUAUAAGACUGGGAUAACUUCGGGAAACCGGAGCUAAUACCGGAUAAUAUAUUGAACCGCAUGGUUCAAUAGUGAAAGACGGUUUUGCUGUCACUUAUAGAUGGAUCCGCGCCGCAUUAGCUAGUUGGUAAGGUAACGGCUUACCAAGGCGACGAUGCGUAGCCGACCUGAGAGGGUGAUCGGCCACACUGGAACUGAGACACGGUCCAGACUCCUACGGGAGGCAGCAGUAGGGAAUCUUCCGCAAUGGGCGAAAGCCUGACGGAGCAACGCCGCGUGAGUGAUGAAGGUCUUCGGAUCGUAAAACUCUGUUAUUAGGGAGGAACAAAUGUGUAAGUAAAUAUGCACGUAUUGACGGUACCUAAUCAGAAAGCCACGGCUAACUACGUG